AACUUUCAAUAAUGGAUCUCUUAGUUCUAGCAUCGAUGAAGAAUAUAGCGAAAUGCGAUAAGUAAUAUAAAUUGUAGAAUUCUAUAAAUCAUUGAAUCUUUGAAUGUACAUUGCGUCUACCGGCAUUCCGAGCGAGUAUACCUGUCUAAGCGUCAUUUCGACCAUUAAGCCCUAG
rnacentral:rRNA from 1 species